rnacentral:rRNA from 1 species
GAUGAACGCUAGCGGCAGGCCUAAUACAUGCAAGUCGAACGGAUAUAUGUUUUUCGGAAUAUAUAUUAGUGGCGCACGGGUGAGUAACACGUACAUAACUUGCCCUCAAGCGGGGGAUAGCCUUGGGAAACUGAGAGUAAUACCCCAUAGAAUUAUUGGACGGCAUCGUUUGAUAAUUAAAACUACGGUGUUUGGGGAUAGAUGUGCGUCUGAUUAGCUAGUUGGUGAGGUAACUGCUCACCAAGGCGACGAUCAGUAGGGGGCGUGAGAGCGUGGCCCCCCACACGGGUACUGAGACACGGACCCGACUCCUACGGGAGGCAGCAGUAAGGAAUAUUGGUCAAUGGAGGGAACUCUGAACCAGCCAUGCCGCGUGAAGGAUGACGGCCCUCUGGGUUGUAAACUUCUUUUGGAUGGGGCGAAAAAACGGGAUUUAUCCUGGACUGACGGUACCAUCAGAAUAAGCACCGGCUAACUCCGUGCCAGCAGCCGCGGUAAAG